rnacentral:rRNA from 1 species
GACGUAGGGCGCGAGCGUUGUCCGGAUUUAUUGGGCGUAAAGAGCUCGUAGGCGGCUUGUUGCGUCGACCGUGAAAACCCGGGGCUCAACUUCGGGCUUGCGGUCGAUACGGGCGGGCUAGAGUUCGGUAGGGGAGACUGGAAUUCCUGGUGUAGCGGUGAAAUGCGCAGAUAUCAGGAGGAACACCGGUGGCGAAGGCGGUGGUCUGGGCCGGCACUGACGCUGAGGAGCGAAAGCGUGGGUAGCAAACAGG